AUUUCAGUUCUGCUUAUGAAGAAGGAUAUCAGAACCAGGGGCCUAAGCGCGACUUCUGGGAAACCUUUGGUAGUAACUCGGCUCUCAGCGGCAACUCUGUAGAAAGGAGCUCAGAAGACCAGUCCAACAACAAGAAUAGUGCUGCAGACAGCUGGGACACCUGGGACAACGACUGGGAGAAAGCUGGAGAUGACAAGGACAAGAAGAGCACGUCGAAAGCGGCUGAGGACUCUUGGGACAACAGCGGCUGGUAGACCUGCAGAGGAUGUGAAAUGUGCUGUUCAUGAGCUCUUGGAUUACAUGAAAGAACAAAUUAUCUCAAAGAUUUCCUGUAAAACUGAAGACUUGGACAUCAAACAUCAUUAUUUAAUUCAUGUUUUUCCAUUUAUUUUGGUCUUUUAUUUGUGAUUUCGGCUAAACGGGAUGUUUCUCCUUACCUCAGUAAUAAGGUGUUUGUUUUCUGUAUUAUUGUCAAGUUUGCCCCGAAUCUCUUUAUGAUAUUGAAUAUUGCUGUUAUCCACACAUCAUGUGUUCAUGAAUUCAUUGACAUCUACUGCUUUAUGGAUGUACCUGACUAGCACAUCUCUGCUAUGUACGUUUGAACUGUAACAACGCCUGCUGUGUCUGAGGAACAUGGGUGAGCUACACUAUAUUCUGUUAGUUAAAUAGUAUAGUUAAUAAAGCUUUAAACAC